CACGUAGGGUGCGAGCGUUGUCCGGAAUUAUUGGGCGUAAAGAGCUCGUAGGCGGUUUGUCGCGUCGAAUGUGAAAACCCGGGGCUCAACCCCGGGCCUGCAUUCGAUACGGGCAGACUAGAGUUCGGUAGGGGAGUCUGGAAUUCCUGGUGUAGCGGUGAAAUGCGCAGAUAUCAGGAGGAACACCGGUGGCGAAGGCGGGACUCUGGGCCGAUACUGACGCUGAGGAGCGAAAGCGUGGGGAGCGAACAGG
rnacentral:rRNA from 1 species